AGCUGUCAGUUGACAGGAACACUGUCUAACCUAAUGGACUGCCUGGGCUGUGAUCAUCUGCGGCAGGGACUGAGGGAGUGUCUACCAUUAGGCCUCCAUGACCUACCUGAGAAACAAUCCUGCAUGAAAGAAAAAUUUGUAACAUCGACCAGACAUAGCUCCUGAGGUGAAUAGGACACCUUCGCCUUUGACCUUGGCUCUGCUCCUGGGGAUGCUGCAUGUGCUCCUGUUUUGGCCUGGUGACUCUGCCCAUGCCACGGGCAGGGAAAGUGGGAUCUGGAGCUGCUGAGCGUAAGCCGGGUUGAUGAACUUGCACCACAGUUCCCUUUUUCUUUUUCACCUAAAACAUCAGAGAGUCUACAGAUGCCGGCCAGUGUGCGUGCAGGGCUGGGAACUCCUCCAGACCAGAGAGAAGGGAGUCUUAUGGCAAUCACAAAUCGUUUGGGAAAGACACAUCUAUAGGAUUUCUCGAUGAGAAGGACUGAGAAUACAUGAAGCCAAAUGCAUGGCACCUUCACUGUGAAAACAGACUAUUCAACAGACUGCUCGGACUGAAACACUGUCGUUUUCCCCAUAUCUCUUGACUGAGCCACGUGCCAUUUCCCACAGUAAUGGGCUGGUGAUGACAUCUGGGGUCCCUGAGCCUUAUCAAGGGAUCCCUGCUUCCUUUUUAAAGAUGCUCAGCUUCAUCCUGCUCUUCCACACCAUCACCACCCUCCCGGACACCCCGGCUCCCAGGCGACGGCCCUCGCUCCUCACCACAGUGCUUCGGGCUCUGCGCACAGCUUUCUUCUGCAGCUGUGUCACAGGGCAGCGAGACACACACAGCCAUAGACAUCUUUGACUUCUCCAGGCCAUUUGGCUUUUCCAAAAGUGAGCUGCAAGAGUUAAUGUGGGCUUUCUCUCUCAAAAACUGCUAUUAGGGUUAUUUAAAAACUGUGGAGGAUUAUGAGGCUAGAAAUGUGCAUGAGGUAUAGAUUCUUAAGUAAGCUUGUCACUUUGCAGGAAGGGCCGUGAGCGUGCGCAGCGCAAACAAGCCGAGCAAUACAGGCGCGCGCGAUCGCACCGGAGGCGUCCAGCUUGCCCCCGAGCACGUCCUACUUGCUGCCCCAGCUCACGGCAUGUAAGGAGGACCUGCCGCCUCAGGCGGGCAGCCAGAGCCACGCUCUCUCC
rnacentral:lncRNA from 1 species